rnacentral:rRNA from 1 species
UACGUAGGUCCCGAGCGUUGUCCGGAUUUAUUGGGCGUAAAGCGAGCGCAGGUGGUUUAUUAAGUCUGGUGUAAAAGGCAGUGGCUCAACCAUUGUAUGCAUUGGAAACUGGUAGACUUGAGUGCAGGAGAGGAGAGUGGAAUUCCAUGUGUAGCGGUGAAAUGCGUAGAUAUAUGGAGGAACACCGGUGGCGGAGGCGGCCUGCUGGACUGCAACUGACGUUGAGGCCCGAAAGCGUGGGGAGCAAACAGG